rnacentral:rRNA from 1 species
GAGUUUGAUCCUGGCUCAGAACGAACGCUGGCGGCAUGCCUAACACAUGCAAGUCGAACGAACUCUUCGGAGUUAGUGGCGCACGGGUGCGUAACGCGUGGGAAUCUGCCCUUGGGUACGGAAUAACUCAGAGAAAUUUGUGCUAAUACCGUAUAAUGACUUCGGUCCAAAGAUUUAUCGCCCAAGGAUGAGCCCGCGUAAGAUUAGCUAGUUGGUGGGUAAAGGCCUACCAAGGCUACGAUCUUUAGCUGGUCUGAGAGGAUGAUCAGCCACACUGGGACUGAGACACGGCCCAGACUCCUACGGGAGGCAGCAGUGGGGAAUAUUGGACAAUGGGCGAAAGCCUGAUCCAGCAAUGCCGCGUGAGUGAUGAAGGCCUUAGGGUUGUAAAGCUCUUUUACCCGGGAUGAUAAUGACAGUACCGGGAGAAUAAGCUCCGGCUAACUCCGUGGCAGCCGCCGCGGUAAG